GUAGCACCGUGGGGGUGCUGGCGUCACGCCGGCUGAGACGAGCCGCGGGCUCGAACCCCUCGAACCUGACGUGGGUAAUGCCACCGGAGGGAACGGUGCGGUCCCGCCU
rnacentral:ncRNA from 2 species